AGGCGUGAACCCUGAUUUCUUGUCUCGUCUUCCUUCCCUCCAUGGCGUCGCGCAAAUGCCGCUUCUGGAUCGAUCGGCGGAAGAGAGGAUUCGAUUGGCGCUAGCGCUGGAGGAAUUUCCAGGAGGGAAGAGGAGGAAUGUUCCAGUUUGGAGGCGGCGCCCAGGCGGCGCCUGUGGCGGCCACCGAAACGCCAUCGCUUCUCUCGGAUUGGAAGGCCUAUGCCAUGGGAGGAGGAGGAUCGGCCGCAGCUACUGUCAGCCACGACCAAGAGGCGGGGGCGUUUAGAUCCGCGUUUAACACGGUGACUACGAGGGUGACAAAUUUGCCUGGGAACGUCCAGACGGCUGCCACAGGCGGCUUGCCAUCGCGAAACCAGCUGCUCUACUUCAGCAUCAUGCUCGGGGCCGGCUGCUUCUUCAUCUUCAUCUCUCUCGUCAUGUUUUUGCCGCUCAUCGUUCUCAUGCCCGCCAAGUUUGCCUCGUGCUUUUCCCUCGGCAGCUGCCUUGUCAUCGGUUCCUUCUUCGCCUUGAAAGGCCCCAGAGCCCAGCUCGCACACAUGAUGUCGAAAGAGGUACCGAUCGUCGGGUUAAUCUACUUGGAAACAAACUAAGAGAGACUACCCUUCUCUGUUGCGUUUGUAGGAAGCAUGGUGGGAGCGAUUUACUCGUCCGUGAUCAUGCACAGCUAUCUUCUUUGUUUGCUUUUCUCCGGUAUUGAGAUUUUAGCGUUGCUAUACUACGUGUUAUCGUAUUUCCCCGGUGGCACUGCGGGUUUGAAAUUCAUGCUGUCAAUGAUGAAGAACAUGAUCCUGGGCUGUUUUCGCAGGUGACACUAGAUUCAUCACUUGUAGCAUAGUGCACGAAAUGUUUUCCAAGAAGGAUAAUGCAAUCAACGCCCGUUCUUCAA